rnacentral:rRNA from 1 species
AAGAGGGAAAAGCCCAGCACCGAAUCCUCCAGUCACUGCUGGCAGGACCUGUGGUGUUUAGGACGGUUUCUGUGUCUGGCGACCUGCCCUAAGUCCACUUGAUUGUGGCUUGUGGCCCAUUGAGGGUGUAAGGCCCGUAUGGGUAGGUUGCUUGGCAUCUGAGCCGUCCUUAGAGUCGGGUUGUUUGAGAAUGCAGCCCUAAGCAGGUGGUAAACUCCAUCUAAGGCUAAAUACAAGCACAAGUCCGAUAGCAAACAAGUACCGUGAGGGAAAGUUGAAAAGAACUUUGAAGAGAGAGUUCAAUAGUGCGUGAAACCGCUCAGAGGUAAACGGGUAGAGCUGAAAAGGGUGCUGGGAACUCAGCUAACUGACGCUUUGGUGUUUUGUUCAGAUUUCUUGCGAGACUGGCUGCCGAGUGUCCGGGUGUUCGGUUAGUGCACUUUCCCAGUGUCCGCACUACGACCGGUGCUUCGUUGGUCUAUUGUUGAGAGGCGGUAGCGAGGCUCUUGAGUUUCGUGAUAACUCUUGACUUGGCGCUAGCGAGGCAGUGGAGACGACGAUGCAUGUACCCAUGUACACACACGUUCUCGUGCGCUGGUACCAGGCGGGAUUGACUGUUGCGCAGUUCUUCCUGCAGGGUGCCGGCUGAAGCGGGGGCCUCUGUGAUAUGUGUCUAUAGUCUGUGGUGUGAAUGUAGGUAGUCUACCCGACCCGUCUUGAAACACGGACCAAGGAGUUUGACAUGUGCGCGAGUCAUUGGGCGUUACGAAACCCAUAGGCGAAGUGAAAGUAAAGGACUGAGUUCUCGGUCUUAGGUGUGAUCCUGGUUCCACAUGUUGGGCUGGGCGCAACACCGGCCCGUCUCAUUGUGUGCUACACAGGGGCGGAGCAAGAGCGCACAUGUCAUGACCCGAAAGAUGGUGAACUAUGCUUGCGCAGGUCGAAGCCAGAGGAAACUCUGGUGGAGGACCGUAGCGAUUCUGACGUGCAAAUCGAUCGUCAGACGUGAGUAUAGGGGCGAAAGACUAAUCGAACCAUCUAGUAGCUGGUUCCCUCCGAAGUUUCCCUCAGGAUAGCUGGCACUCGCUAAUCAGUUUUAUCCGGUAAAGCGAAUGAUUAGAGGUACCGGGAUCGAAAUGUUCUCGACCUAUUCUCAAACUUUAAAUGGGUGAGACGUCUGACUCUCUUAAUUGGAGUUGGACAUUGAAUGAGAGUGCCAAGUGGACCAUUUUUGGUAAGCAGAACUGGUGCUGUGGGAUGAACCAAACGUUUGGUUAAGGUGCCUAACAUGACGCUCAUCAGAUACCACAAAAGGUGUUGGUUGAUCUAGACAGCAGGACGGUGGCCAUGGAAGUUGGAAUCCGCUAAGGAGUGUGUAACAACUCACCUGCCGAAUCAACCAGCCCUGAAAAUGGAUGGCGCUGGAGCGUCGGACCUAUACCAAACCGUCACCGCACGCCAGACCCAGGAAGCGGUGACGAGUAGGAGGGUCGCCGUGGUGAGCGUUGAAGCUGAGGCCGUGAGGCCUGGUGGA